UUUACCAUUCGGAUGACUCUUAUCCAAAUAAAUAAUUGUCAGCUGCAAAAAAUCUUUUCUUUCAACUUCAUAUUUUCAGCAGCAGUUGCAGCAGUAGAGAAAGGCAAAAGUACUUUCUCAUCCUUUUACUGAAUUCAUAAAUAUAUUGCUCCAUAAGGUGCUUCAAGGGGUUCCAUUACUUGACUGUGGAUUUUCAAUUCCUAUCAGCAAAAAUAGAAUUUAAAAUCCAUUUUCACAAUCCAAAAUGGGAAAAUAUCUACUCCUGGAAUUAUCAUCACAAUACUAAGCAACAACCAGUCUGAUUAGAACAUUAAAAAUUUAGACUUAAGGGGGAAUUAGCUAUCUUCACCAUUGAAAAAAAUAAACAAUUUACCGCUAUCACAAGUUAAUAAUUUAAUAAAGAUGGUGUAAUUGCAAAAUAUAAAAUUUUGAACCUAUUAGCUUCGAAAUCGAACAUUGCCCCUUGAGGAUAUACUCUAAAAACCAUGAUAAUCAAAUCGAUAAUUAACUAAAUAAUUUAAAACGUAUGUUUGAUCGUAAAUAGAGUGCAUGUGAAGUACGACAACACAGACGGAGAAAACCCGCAUAAAUUUGUUUAUACAAUAACAUGUAUGUGCACGUAUAUAUUGAAGACAGAGAUUGCGAUGAGCAAAUGCAAGAAUACUGACGAAUAUUUAGAUGCAAGUCUUACCGAGAAUGUCGCCGUAACAGUGAUGGGAUACCGGUCGCCGGAUCUCCGGGCGGGUAAGAAAUUAACUCAGUUACAGAACGAAAAUGCGAGGGGAGAGACGAAUAGUCGAUAUCUUUAGGUGGACU
rnacentral:lncRNA from 1 species